AAGGGUGAUGCCUGCCCAGUGACAUAGUYCAACGGCCGCGGUAUCCUGACCGUGCGAAGGUAGCGUAAUCGCUCGUCUUUUAAAUAAAGACUGGAAUGAAUGGCUAAACGAGGAUCUAUCUGUCUCUUACAGGUAAUCAAUGAAAUUGAUCUACUCGUGCAAAAGCGAGAAUGAUAACAUAAGACGAGAAGACCCUGUGGAACUUAAAAUAACAGUUAAAGGAUGUAAAUUACCAAAUCCAACAGGAACACAAGCUACAACCCAUUUAACCCUAUUUUUGGUUGGGGUGACCUCGGAGAAAAGAAAAACCUCCGAAAACUUAUGCCAAGAACAACAGGCCAAAGCACCAUAGAUGUAAACGAUCCAAUAUAUUUGAUCAAUGAACAAAGCUACCCCAGGGAUAACAGCGCAAUCCCCUCUUAGAGUCCCUAUCAACGAUGGGGGUUUACGACCUCGAUGUUGGAUCAGGACAUCCUAAUGGUGCAGCCGCUAUUAAGGGUUC
rnacentral:rRNA from 1 species